rnacentral:other from 1 species
CGCUCCCUGCAGUGUUCGAGUAAUAGGUCGGGCAACCCCUUGAUCCUAAUUAAUCUGACCCGGGGUGUGCGGUUGUCGGCGUCAAUGUGCAUGUCCGCCUUGCCGCGGAAAGCCUGGUGCGCCGCUCUGUUCCCCCACUUGAACCUUGCGGUUCAAGGGUAACGGCUAAAAACGGCACAGGUGGAGAGCGC